rnacentral:rRNA from 1 species
CCUACGGGAGGCAGCAGUGGGGAAUAUUGCACAAUGGGGGAAACCCUGAUGCAGCGACGCCGCGUGAGGGAAGAAGUAAUUCGUUACGUAAAGCUCUAUCAGCAGGGAAGAAAAUGACGGUACCUGAGUAAGAAGCCCCGGCUAACUACGUGCCAGCAGCCGCGGGAAUACGUAGGGGGCAAGCGUUAGCCGGAUUUAAUGGGUGUAAAGGGAGCGGAGACGGUGAGCCAAGUCUGGAGUGAAAUGACGCAACUUAACUGCGGGACUGCUUUGGAAACUGGCGAACUAGAGUGCGGGAGGGGUAAGCGGAAUUCCUAGUGUAGCGGUGAAAUGCGUAGAUAUUAGGAGGAACACCAGUGGCGAAGGCGGCGUACUGGACCGUAACUGACGUUGAGGCUCGAAAGCGUGGGGAGCAAACAGGAUUAGAUACCCCAGUAGUC